rnacentral:rRNA from 1 species
UACGGAGGAUGCAAGCGUUAUCCGGAAUGAUUGGGCGUAAAGCGUCCGCAGGUGGCGUUGUAAGUCUGUUGUUAAAGCGUGCGGCUUAACCGCAUAAGGGCGAUGGAAACUACAAGACUAGAGUGCGUUAGGGGUAGAGGGAAUUCCUGGUGUAGCGGUGAAAUGCGUAGAGAUCAGGAAGAACACCGGUGGCGAAAGCGCUCUACUAUGCCGCAACUGACACUGAGUGACGAAAGCUAGGGGAGCGAAUGGG